UAUCCAUUCCCUCCAUCCGAAAAAGCUUGUCCCAAACUUGUCCCUCAAAUUGAUGUAUCUAGCACUAACUUGGUGCUAGAUACAUCCAUUUGGGGGACAAGCUUUUUCGGACGGAGGGAGUAGUAU
rfam:Triticum aestivum genome assembly, contig: Triticum_aestivum_CS42_TGACv1_scaffold_031609_1BL